GGCGGUCCGCUUAACGGCGUGUACUGUCUGGCUGGGCCUUACUUCUUGGUGAGCCGGCGUGUCCUUUAUUGGAUGCGUCGGUGAACCAGGACUUUUACCUUGAGAAAAUUAGAGUGUUCAAAGCAGGCUUACGUCUGAAUACAUUAGCAUGGAAUAAUAAAAUAGGACGGUGGUCCUGUU
rnacentral:rRNA from 1 species